UACGGGGGGGCAAGCGUUGUUCGAAAUUACUGGGCGUAAAGGGCGCGUAGGCGGCCUACUAAGUCAGACGUGAAAUCCCCCGGCUUAACUUGGGAACUGCGUCUGAUACUGGAAGGCUUGAGGAUGGGAGAGGGAUGUAGAAUUCCAGGUGGUAGCGGUGAAAUGCGUAGAUAUUGGGAAGAACACCGGUGGCGAAGGCGGCGACCUGGUCCGUGACUGACGCUGAGGCGCGAAAGCGUGGGGAGCAAACAGG
rnacentral:rRNA from 1 species